GAUGAACGCUGGCGGCGUGCCUAACACAUGCAAGUCGAACGGAAAGGCGCUGCUUUUGUGGGGUUCUCGAGUGGCGAACGGGUGAGUAAUACGUGAGUAACCUGCCCGUGACUUUGGGAUAACUUCAGGAAACUGGGGCUAAUACCGGUUCGGAGCUCGUGCUGCAUGGUGGGGGUUGGAAAGUUUCGGCGGUUGGGGAUGGACUCGGGGCUUAUCAGCUUGUUGGUGGGUAGUGGCUUACCAAGGCUUUGACGGGUAGCCAGCCUGAGAGGGUGACCGGCCACAUUGGGACUGAGAUACGGCCCAGACUCCUACGGGAGGCAGCAGUGGGGAAUAUUGCACAAUGGGCGGAAGCCUGAUGCAGCAACGCCGCGUGCGGGAUGACGGCCUUCGGGUUGUAAACCGCUUUCGCCUGUGACGAAGCGUGAGUGACGGUAAUGGGUAAAGAAGCACCGGCUAACUACGUG
rnacentral:rRNA from 1 species